GCGGAUGUAGCGCAGCUGGUAGCGCAUCACCUUGCCAAGGUGAGGGUCGCGGGUUCGAAUCCCGUCAUCCGCUCCACGA
rnacentral:tRNA from 1 species